UCUGGUUGAUCCCGCCGGACCCCACUGCUAUCGGGAUAGGACUAAGACAUGCUAGUUGAGCGCUUCCAGCCAAAACGGGAGCGCAGCGCACAGCUCAGUAACACGUGGCUAAUCUGCCCUUGGGACCGGAACACCCCCGGGAAACUGGGGCUAAUUCUCGAUAGGUGAAGAACUCUGGAAUGAGUCUUUGCCAAAAAGACGUUUACGUUAUGCUCGUAGGCUCGCCCAAGGAUGAGGCCGCGACCGAUCAGGUUGUUGGUGAGGUAAUGGCUCACCAAGCCUUUUACCGGUGCGGGCCGUGAGAGCGGGAGCCCGGAGAUGGGCACUGAGACAAGGGCCCAGGCCCUACGGGGCGCAGCAGUCGCGAAAACUUUGCAAUACACGAAAGUGUGACAGGGCUAUCCCGAGUGCCAUCCGCUGAGGAAGGCUUUUACCCAGUCUAGAACGCUGGGGGAAUAAGGAGAGGGCAAGUCUGGUGUCAGCCGCCGCGGUAAUACCAGCUCUCCGAGUGGUGUGGAUGUUUAUUGGGCCUAAAGCAUCCGUAGCUGGCUGAGUUAGUCCCUUGUUAAAUCCACCGAAUUAAUCGUUGGAUUGCGGGGGAUACUGCUCGGCUAGGGGACGAGAGAGGCAGACGGUAUUUCUGGGGUAGGGGUGAAAUCCUAUAAUCCCAGGAGGACCACCAGUGGCGAAGGCUGUCUGCUAGAACGCGCCCGACGGUGAGGGAUGAAAGCUGGGGGAGCGAACCGGAUUAGAUACCCGGGUAGUCCCAGCUGUAAACGAUGCAGACUAGGUGUUUGGACGGCCACGUGCCGUUCUAGUGCCGCAGGGAAGCUGUUAAGUCUGCCGCCUGGGGAGUACGAUCGCAAGAUUGAAACUUAAAGGAAUUGGCGGGGGAGCAC
rnacentral:rRNA from 1 species